rnacentral:rRNA from 1 species
GACGAACGCUGGCGGCGUGCUUAACACAUGCAAGUCGAACGGAAAGGCCCUGCUUUUGUGGGGUGCUCGAGUGGCGAACGGGUGAGUAACACGUGAGUAACCUGCCCUUGACUUUGGGAUAACUUCAGGAAACUGGGGCUAAUACCGGCUAGGAGCUCCUGCUGCAUGGUGGGGGUUGGAAAGUUUCGGCGGUUGGGGAUGGACUCGCGGCUUAUCAGCUUGUUGGUGGGGUAGUGGCUUACCAAGGCUUUGACGGGUAGCCGGCCUGAGAGGGUGGACGGCGACAUUGGGACUGAGAUACGGCCCAGACUCCAACGGGAGGCAGCAGUGGGGAAUAUUACACAAUGGGCGGAAGCCUGAUGCAGAAACGCCGCGUGCGGGAUGACGUCCUUCGGGGUGUAAACCGCAUUCGCCUGUGACGAAGCGGGAGUGACGGUAAUGGGUAAAGAAGCACCGGCUAACUACGUG